rnacentral:tRNA from 1 species
GGGGAUGUGGCUCAAGCGGUAGAGCCCUCGCCUGGCAAGCGCGGGGUGCUGGGUUCGAUCCUCAGCACCACA